rnacentral:tRNA from 1 species
GUGGGUAUAGCUCAGCUAAGCACAUGCUUAGCAUGCAUGAGGUCCUAGGUUCAAUUCCCAGUACCUCCA